rnacentral:tRNA from 1 species
UAUAUUCUAGUAUAAGAUGUACAUAGAUUUUUGAUAUCUAAAGAGGUAGUUUAAUUCUACCGAAUAUAA